rnacentral:pre_miRNA from 1 species
AGGUCACAGUGUGUAGCCAAGGAUGACUUGCCGGCGAGCUUACUCAUGCAUGUUCAUCUUGAAUAGCAGUAGUAGCACGCACCGUUGUUAAAGGCCGGCAAGUCGUUUUUGGCUACAUGUUUGCCUCU